GGAUCCAGACUUUGAUUCUGCUCAGGACGAACGCUGGCGGCGCGCCUAACACAUGCAAGUCGAGCGGGAAGCUUUUUAAGGAUUCUUCGGACGAAUUAAAAAGUGGAGAGCGGCGGACGGGUGAGUAACGCGUGAGAAACCUGCCCUAUACAGGGGGAUAGCCAUUGGAAACGAUGAUUAAUACCCCAUAUGACCACAGUAUCGCAUGAUACAGCGGUGAAAACUCCGGUGGUAUAGGAUGGUCUCGCGUCUGAUUAGCUAGUUGGUGGGGUAACGGCCUACCAAGGCGACGAUCAGUAGCCGGCCUGAGAGGGUGACCGGCCACACUGGAACUGAGACACGGUCCAGACUCCUACGGGAGGCAGCAGUGGGGAAUAUUGCACAAUGGGCGAAAGCCUGAUGCAGCGACGCCGCGUGAACGAUGAAGGCUUUCGAGUCGUAAAGUUCUGUUCUUGGGGAAGAUAACGACGGUACCCAAGGAGAAAGCACCGGCUAAAUACGUGCCAGCAGCCGCGGUAAU
rnacentral:rRNA from 1 species